GAAAUCUUGAAAACAUUGCCAGGGCCUUUCAUAAGACCCAGUGGACAAUUUUUGCAUACCCUCUAGAAGGGUG
rnacentral:snRNA from 1 species